rnacentral:lncRNA from 1 species
GAGGCCAACUAGUUAGAUCACACUUCCCACCAAGAGCACAUGGAAAACAUUGCACAUAUGAAAGCUGUCAUGCAGAACCUGGGUGUGCAAGGACUUCAGUUGGGUGCAAAACCAAUUUAGAAGUCAAAAAUCCUUCACAGACCUAAUCCGAAAGCUAUGCUACCAAUCCGGAAAUCAACCCAUUUCAUCUUAGCUUUUGUUCCUAUGCUUCCCUUGGCU